ensembl:misc_RNA Metazoa_SRP Metazoan signal recognition particle RNA
GCCGGGCACAGUGGCUCAUGCCUGUAAUCCCAGCACUUUGGGAGGCUGAGGUGGGAGGAUCACUUGAGGUCAGGAGUUCGAGACCAGCCUGGCCAACAUAGUGAAACCCCAUCUCUA